rnacentral:rRNA from 1 species
UACGGGGGGGGCAAGCGUUGUUCGGAAUUACUGGGUGUAAAGGGUUUGUAGGUGGCUUGUUAAGUCAGACGUGAAAUCCCUCAGCUUAACUGGGGAACUGCGUCUGAUACUGGCGAGCUUGAGUGCAGGAGAGGAACGCGGAAUUCCAGGUGUAGCGGUGAAAUGCGUAGAUAUCUGGAGGAACACCGGUGGCGAAGGCGGCGUUCUGGACUGCAACUGACACUGAGAAACGAAAGCCAGGGUAGCAAACGGG